rnacentral:rRNA from 1 species
GGGCAUGGCGGCAGCUACACAUGCAGUCGUACGGUGAACAGCGCAAGCAGCUUGCUGCUUUGCUGACGAGUGGCGGACGGGUGAGUAAUGUCUGGGAAACUGCCUGAUGGAGGGGGAUAACUACUGGAAACGGUAGCUAAUACCGCAUAAUGUCGCAAGACCAAAGAGGGGGACCUUCGGGCCUCUUGCCAUCGGAUGUGCCCAGAUGGGAUUAGCUAGUAGGUGGGGUAACGGCUCACCUAGGCGACGAUCCCUAGCUGGUCUGAGAGGAUGACCAGCCACACUGGAACUGAGACACGGUCCAGACUCCUACGGGAGGCAGCAGUGGGGAAUAUUGCACAAUGGGCGCAAGCCUGAUGCAGCCAUGCCGCGUGUAUGAAGAAGGCCUUCGGGUUGUAAAGUACUUUCAGCGGGGAGGAAGGUGAUGAGGUUAAUAACCUCGUCAAUUGACGUUACCCGCAGAAGAAGCACCGGCUAACUCCGUGCCAGCAGCCGCGGUAAUACGGAGGGUGCAAGCGUUAAUCGGAAUUACUGGGCGUAAAGCGCACGCAGGCGGUCUGUCAAGUCGGAUGUGAAAUCCCCGGGCUCAACCUGGGAACUGCAUUCGAAACUGGCAGGCUAGAGUCUUGUAGAGGGGGGUAGAAUUCCAGGUGUAGCGGUGAAAUGCGUAGAGAUCUGGAGGAAUACCGGUGGCGAAGGCGGCCCCCUGGACAAAGACUGACGCUCAGGUGCGAAAGCGUGGGGAGCAAACAGGAUUAGAUACCCUGGUAGUCCACGCCGUAAACGAUGUCGACUUGGAGGUUGUGCCCUUGAGGCGUGGCUUCCGGAGCUAACGCGUUAAGUCGACCGCCUGGGGAGUACGGCCGCAAGGUUAAAACUCAAAUGAAUUGACGGGGGCCCGCACAAGCGGUGGAGCAUGUGGUUUAAUUCGAUGCAACGCGAAGAACCUUACCUACUCUUGACAUCCAGAGAACUUUCCAGAGAUGCAUUGGUGCCUUCGGGAACUCUGAAAACAGGUGCUGCAUGGCUGUCGUCCACCUCGUGUUGUGAAAUGUUGGGGUUAAGUCCCCGCAACGAAGGGCAACCCUUUAUCCUUUGUUUGCCAGCGGGUUAGGGCCGGGGAACUUCAAAGGGAAACUGGCCCGUGGAUAAACUGGAAGAAAAAGUGGGGGGUUAAACCUUCCCAUUUUCA